GACCAUCUCCUAAGGCUAAAUACUCUCUAGUGACCGAUAGUGAACCAGUACCGUGAGGGAAAGGUGAAAAGCACCCCGGAAGGGGAGUGAAAUAGAACCUGAAACCGUGUGCUUACAAGUAGUCAGAGCCCGUUAAUGGGUGAUGGCGUGCCUUUUGUAGAAUGAACCGGCGAGUUACGAUUUGAUGCAAGGUUAAGCAGUAAAUGUGGAGCCGUAGCGAAAGCGAGUCUGAAUAGGGCGUUUAGUAUUUGGUCGUAGACCCGAAACCAGGUGAUCUACCCUUGGUCAGGUUGAAGUUCAGGUAACACUGAAUGGAGGACCGAACCGACUUACGUUGAAAAGUGAGCGGAUGAACUGAGGGUAGCGGAGAAAUUCCAAUCGAACCUGGAGAUAGCUGGUUCUCUCCGAAAUAGCUUUAGGGCUAGCCUCAAGUGAUGAUUAUUGGAGGUAGAGCACUGUUUGGACGAGGGGCCCCUCUCGGGUUACCGAAUUCAGACAAACUCCGAAUGCCAAUUAAUUUAACUUGGGAGUCAGAACAUGGGUGAUAAGGUCCGUGUUCGAAAGGGAAACAGCCCAGACCACCAGCUAAGGUCCCAAAAUAUAUGUUAAGUGGAAAAGGAUGUGGCGUUGCCCAGACAACUAGGAUGUUGGCUUAGAAGCAGCCAUCAUUUAAAGAGUGCGUAAUAGCUCACUAGUCG
rnacentral:rRNA from 1 species